CGGCGAGGGGAGUGAAAAAGAACCUGAAACCGUGUACGUACAAGCAGUGGGAGCACGCUUAGGCGUGUGACUGCGUACCUUUUGUAUAAUGGGUCAGCGACUUAUAUUCUGUAGCAAGGUUAACCGAAUAGGGGAGCCGAAGGGAAACCGAGUCUUAACUGGGCGUUAAGUUGCAGGGUAUAGACCCGAAACCCGGUGAUCUAGCCAUGGGCAGGUUGAAGGUUGGGUAACACUAACUGGAGGACCGAACCGACUAAUGUUGAAAAAUUAGCGGAUGACUUGUGGCUGGGGGUGAAAGGCCAAUCAAACCGGGAGAUAGCUGGUUCUCCCCGAAAGCUAUUUAGGUAGCGCCUCGUGAAUUCAUCUCCGGGGGUAGAGCACUGUUUCGGCAAGGGGGUCAUCCCGACUUACCAACCCGAUGCAAACUGCGAAUACCGGAGAAUGUUAUCACGGGAGACACACGGCGGGUGCUAACGUCCGUCGUGAAGAGGGAAACAACCCAGACCGCCAGCUAAGGUCCCAAAGUCAUGGUUAAGUGGGAAACGAUGUGGGAAGGCCCAGACAGCCAGGAUGUUGGCUUAGAAGCAGCCAUCAUUUAAAGAAAGCGUAAUAGCUCACUGGUCGAGUCGGCCUGCGCGGAAGAUGUAACGGGGCUAAACCAUGCACCGAAGCUGCGGCAGCGACGCUGAUGCGUUGUUGGGUAGGGGAGCGUUCUGUAAGCCUGCGAAGGUGUGCUGUGAGGCAUGCUGGAGGUAUCAGAAGUGCGAAUGCUGACAUAAGUAACGAUAAAGCGGGUGAAAAGCCCGCUCGCCGGAAGACCAAGGGUUCCUGUCCAACGUUAAUCGGGGCAGGGUGAGUCGACCCCUAAGGCGAGGCCGAAAGGCGUAGUCGAUGGGAAACAGGUUAAUAUUCCUGUACUUGGUGUUACUGCGAAGGGGGGACGGAGAAGGCUAUGUUGGCCGGGCGACGGUUGUCCCGGUUUAAGCGUGUAGGCUGGUUUUCCAGGCAAAUCCGGAAAAUCAAGGCUGAGGCGUGAUGACGAGGCACUACGGUGCUGAAGCAACAAAUGCCCUGCUUCCAGGAAAAGCCUCUAAGCAUCAGGUAACAUCAAAUCGUACCCCAAACCGACACAGGUGGUCAGGUAGAGAAUACCAAGGCGCUUGAGAGAACUCGGGUGAAGGAACUAGGCAAAAUGGUGCCGUAACUUCGGGAGAAGGCACGCUGAUAUGUAGGUGAAGUCCCUCGCGGAUGGAGCUGAAAUCAGUCGAAGAUACCAGCUGGCUGCAACUGUUUAUUAAAAACACAGCACUGUGCAAACACGAAAGUGGACGUAUACGGUGUGACGCCUGCCCGGUGC
rnacentral:rRNA from 1 species